rnacentral:rRNA from 1 species
ACGGGUGAGUAAUGUCUGGGAAACUGCCCGAUGGAGGGGGAUAACUACUGGAAACGGUAGCUAAUACCGCAUAACGUCUUCGGACCAAAGUGGGGGGCCUUCGGGCCUCACACCAUCGGAUGUGCCCAGAUGGGAUUAGCUAGUAGGUGGGGUAACGGCUCACCUAGGCGACGAUCCCUAGCUGGUCUGAGAGGAUGACCAGCCACACUGGAACUGAGACACGGUCCAGACUCCUACGGGAGGCAGCAGUGGGGAAUAUUGCACAAUGGGCGCAAGCCUGAUGCAGCCAUGCCGCGUGUAUGAAGAAGGCCUUCGGGUUGUAAAGUACUUUCAGCGGGGAGGAAGGGAUUGUGGUUAAUAACCGCAGUCAUUGACGUUACCCGCAGAAGAAGCACCGGCUAACUCCGUGCCAGCAGCCGCGGUAAUACGGAGGGUGCAAGCGUUAAUCGGAAUUACUGGGCGUAAAGCGCACGCAGGCGGUCUGUCAAGUCGGAUGUGAAAUCCCCGGGCUUAACCUGGGAACUGCAUUCGAAACUGGCAGGCUUGAGUCUCGUAGAGGGGGGUAGAAUUCCAGGUGUAGCG